UGUCACGCCUGUAAUUUACUUAGAACUUACAGUAGUGUUUGUAAUCAGUGUUUGGACAUCUUGGGUUGGAGGACAGAUGACAGAAAACGUGUCGCAUUUUCUCCAGCAAACUUUUUAUACACAGACGGCAACGCACAUUUUACUGACCGUUUCACCGAUGAUUCAGCGGAGCUGAGGAGCGAUGCUAUCAGCAUUGCUGAAACGAAAGGAAAGACCUGAAUCUGUGGAGGCCAGUCAUUAUUAAACAGCUGUACUUGACUGCAGCUUCUUCCACUCUAACUGAGAUGUG